UUUGGAAUAAAACAUCAUUUUCUCUUUUUUUCCCAAAAUGUGAGGCACUGAGUUCGCUGAGAGAGAAUGAAACCCUAAGUUUUCUACAUACGCCAUUCUUGCCGCCGUUCUCGCUGCCGUUUCCGCUGCCGGCACCGUUACCACUUCGGCUGUGUCCGUUGCAGUAGAGAGCUUCUAGAUCGAGCCACAUCUUCUAUCAAUGUGUUUUCAGAUCUGUUCUCUCUAUCUGUCAUUGCUGCCACUGUUGCCAUCGCAGUUUGCACCGCCGUUGCUGCCACAGUUUCUACCGUCGAUGACACCGUAGUUGCCGUAGUACAACGCAUUUGCAGAUCUGUUCACUCCCGAGCUUCUUCUUCAAUGCUGCUUUCUCUCACUCCAAUUUCCCCUUUAAACUGCCGGUGGAAUUAGUUCCCAGCAUCAAUAAGGUUAGUGGUUUUAAUUUCUAUUCAUUUGUAUUCCAACUCUUACCAUCAUUUUCAACCUUAAAGACCCAGUUUUGCACUCUGGAAAGCAUCAUGACUUUUUAAAUCUAUAAAGUAUCAGUCUUUUACUUGGAGUAUUUGAUUGGGAUGAAUUACUACACUACAAUGCGGCAAUGCAAGCGUGGAAGAAGAGAAUAAUAUCGUUCAUGUUGCCUUCCGAUCUGAACACAUGUCUUGGAUGGAAGACAGUCAGACUCACAAUCUAAGAAAAGAAACCUUGUAGCAACAAUAUCAAUCGGUGAAGAAAUGGACUUCUAAUUAUAACAACUAUGCGAUUGGUUCUCAUGUGAUGGAUAGUAUGGUGAUACCAAAAUCAAAGCUGACAAGCUCUCUCUCUUUGAAGGCUUCGAUCCUACAUCCACCAAUUGACAUUUUAGCUUUAUGUUGCUUUUGAUGCAGGUCACAAUUGCUCCCAGAGCUGGUAGGGAAUUGGGUUAUGUGCGGGUGAAGAUAGAUCCUAUCAAAUUUAACGAAGGAAUGCUCACAUAUGGAUUCUUUGCUUAGAUCAAUUAAACUGCAUUACAUUGCACUUUUACAGAAUUGUGUUUAGAGCCUUUCAUUGUUUCUCUAAUUUGUAACUACUAAUGUCAUGCAGUCGACAAUUUGUCCUAGAUCAUAUUACCGUUCAACUAGCUCCCCGUGCAGCGGAUGAAAUUUGGUUUGGGAGUGGUCAAGUAAGAUAAAAUUCCCACUUGCUUUCCUUAAGUUUCCUCACUCCUUUUUAUUUUCUUCAUUGGUUCUUUUUGGUUGCUGUUUUAACUUGUUUUACAAUAUUUUGUUGAGUACGAUAUGGGCCAAAACUGCAGACAAAGCGAGGUCCGUAGCAAGGAUAUUUGUUCUUGGUGGGCUUUCAGAGAAGCACCAUGGAAUUACCAAUUUCUGGGUGGUAGACCGAAUAAACAUAUGGAUUCUCUCUCUCAACAUUUCUUUCAUCUGGUGUACUUGCAUGGCUCCAUAAAACCAAUACCUCCAAGCAUUCUUGACCUUAGAGCUGCCAAGCACAGAGAAUUCCAACAACUUCGUAAUGAUGAAAACCAGACAGCUUUGAAGAGCAACUCUUAAGAAAUGCCACAACCAGUUUUGAGACUAGUUUACUUUAUAGUCAUAUUUAUUGUACCUUAUUCCUGUAGCAUACUGAAAUCUGUGUUGAUUUCCAUUUGAUUUCCUAUUGAAAAUUUUUUAAUUGGACUAUAGGAUUUGCUUUUGGAGAUUUAAUUGGGAAAUGUCAGUGCCAAGUGCCAACAAAUACUCUGUAUGCAGAAUAAGAAAUCACCAAGUCCUACAAUGUUUACAGUCAACAUGGGGCAAAGAUAAAUUCAAGUUCUAGUAAGACUCUGGAGAUGUAAACCAUUCAACUCUGCCACCUUGAUGAAUUUGUCACCAUGACAAAGUCAACUUUCGAAUGACAGAAUCUAGAGUUCCAUUAUAUGUGGCAACAAAGAUGACAUCAAUUAGAAGAUCUUCAUUCUUCGUCCCGUCAACUGAUGGAUAUGCCAAAGCUGGUAUGAGAUGGAUAGGCUAUGAACUUCGCUGCAGGCCAUAUAUAGUGUAAAAUUUUGAUUUAUUAUUUUUAAUUUGUAUUUAAAUAGAUUUAAUCAUUUAACUUUUUAUGAGUUUUGAAUGCAUGUUCAGAAUUAAAUUAACUUUGAUUUAUAUUCAUUUCCAUUUGAAAUC